UACAGAGGGUGCGAGCGUUGUCCGGAAUCACUGGGCGUAAAGGGCGCGUAGGCGGUCUGCUAAGCGUGCGGUGAAAGCCCGGGGCUCAACCCCGGGUCGGCCGUGCGAACUGGUGGACUGGAGCUUGUCAGAGGCAGGCGGAAUCCGGGUGUAGCGGUGGAAUGCGUAGAGAUCCGGAGGAACACCAAAGGCGAAGGCAGUGUCCUGGGGAGUACCUGACGCUCAGGUGCGAAAGCCAGGGGAGCGAACGGG
rnacentral:rRNA from 1 species